CGGACGAACGCUGGCGGCGUGCCUAACACAUGCAAGUCGAGCGGAGUUUAGCAGUUAGCUUGCUAACAGUUAAACUUAGCGGCGGACGGGUGAGUAACGCGUGAGGAACCUGCCUUACAGAGGGGGAUAACACAUCGAAAGGUGUGCUAAUACCGCAUGAAAUCAUAGUACCGCAUGGUAGAAUGAUCAAAGGAGUAAUCCGCUGUAAGAUGGUCUCGCGUCUGAUUAGCUAGUUGGUGAGGUAAUGGCUCACCAAGGCGACGAUCAGUAGCCGACCUGAGAGGGUGAUCGGCCACAUUGGGACUGAGACACGGCCCAGACUCCUACGGGAGGCAGCAGUGGGGAAUAUUGCGCAAUGGGGGAAACCCUGACGCAGCAACGCCGCGUGAAGGAAGAAGGUCUUCGGAUCGUAAAUUUUUGUCUUCUGGGAAGAAAGAUGACGGUACCAGAGGAGGAAGCCACGGCUAACUACGUG
rnacentral:rRNA from 1 species